CCUACGGGUGGCUGCAGUGGGGAAUAUUGCACAAUGGGCGCAAGCCUGGUGCAGCCAUGCCGCGUGUGUGAAGAAGGCCUUCGGGUUGUAAAGCACUUUCAGCGGGGAGGAAGGCGGUGAGGUUAAUAACCUCAUCGAUUGACGUUACCCGCAGAAGAAGCACCGGCUAACUCCGUGCCAGCAGCCGCGGUAAUACGGAGGGUGCAAGCGUUAAUCGGAAUUACUGGGCGUAAAGCGCACGCAGGCGGUCUGUCAAGUCGGAUGUGAAAUCCCCGGGCUCAACCUGGGAACUGCAUUCGAAACUGGCAGGCUAGAGUCUUGUAGAGGGGGGUAGAAUUCCAGGUGUAGCGGUGAAAUGCGUAGAGAUCUGGAGGAAUACCGGUGGCGAAGGCGGCCCCCUGGACAAAGACUGACGCUCAGGUGCGAAAGCGUGGGGAGCAAACAGGAUUAGAUACCCGGGUAGUC
rnacentral:rRNA from 1 species